GAAGGUAUAGCUCAGUGUUAGAGCGUGUGCUUAGCAUGCACUCGGUUCUGGGUUCAAUCCCCAGAACUUCCA
rnacentral:tRNA from 1 species